UACGUAGGGGGCAAGCGUUGUCCGGAAUCAUUGGGCGUAAAGCGCGUGUAGGCGGCUCGGUAAGUCUGCUGUGAAAGUCCAGGGCUCAACCCUGGGAUGCCGGUGGAUACUGUCGAGCUCGAGUCCGGAAGAGGAGAGUGGAAUUCCUGGUGUAGCGGUGAAAUGCGCAGAUAUCAGGAGGAACACCAAUGGCGAAGGCAGCUCGCUGGGACGUGACUGACGCUGAGACGCGAAAGCGUGGGGAGCGAACAGG
rnacentral:rRNA from 1 species